rnacentral:rRNA from 1 species
AUUGAACGCUGGCGGCAUGCUUUACACAUGCAAGUCGAACGGUAACAGGCCGCAAGGUGCUGACGAGUGGCGAACGGGUGAGUAAUGCAUCGGAACGUGCCCAGUCGUGGGGGAUAACGCAGCGAAAGCUGCGCUAAUACCGCAUACGAUCUAUGGAUGAAAGCGGGGGACCGUAAGGCCUCGCGCGAUUGGAGCGGCCGAUGUCAGAUUAGGUAGUUGGUGGGGUAAAGGCUCACCAAGCCAACGAUCUGUAGCUGGGCUGAGAGGACGACCAGCCAAACUGGGGCUGAGACACAGACCAGACUCCUACGGGAGGCAGCAGUGGGGAAUUUUGGACAAUGGGCGCAAGCCUGAUUCAGCAAUGCCGCGUGCAGGAAGAAGGCCUUCGGGUUGUAAACUGCUUUUGUACGGAACGAAACGGUCCUGGUUAAUACCCGGGGCUAAUGACGGUACCGUAAGAAUAAGCACCGGCUAACUACGUGCCAGCCGCCGCCGUAACAC